GCCAGUGUGGUGCAGUGGUUAGAGUGUGGACUAGGACUUGAGAGGCCAGGGUUCAAAUCCCUGCUCUCCCA